rnacentral:lncRNA from 1 species
GUCAUUUUUAAUUAAGANUUUUUUUUUUUUUUAAUCUAACAGGUAGAGUUCAUUUUCAAGGUGUAUUUAUUCAUUUAAGGAACACUAUUUAGUAGAAGACAGGUGUUCUUCCCCCCCUUUCCUGCUCAGACUUGAGAGUGACAGUUGACCUGAAUUUUCUUAUACCAUAUCAAAACUACACCCUUCAGUUGGUAACCUGAGAUUUUUCAUAUAGAAACUUACAGGGUUAUUCAGAGUUAUUAGGCUGUAGAAUUUGUUAGGUAAUUCACUGCAAGAUAGUAUUCCAUAAUGUCUUGCAACAUAAAUGUACAUUGUGACAUCGAUUCUCAUAACAUUCAUAAUUCAGUUAAUUUGGUAAUUAAUUUCUAAGUUCUCAGAAGUCAAAUACCUUAUGUGUUAAUCAUGUUUUAUAUUGAAUUACCAUGCUCUUUCCCUUCCAUGUUCUGUAACUUCCCCAUAUCUGAAACACUAUGCUAUUAGCACCAUUAUUGGGCUUUUAAAUUUUGUUAUGGCCAUAGUGGUACACGCGUGUAAUCCCAGCUACUUGGGAGGCUGAGGCAGGAGGAUCCCAAGUUUGAGGCAGACUGGGUAACUUUUUGAGACCUUUUCUUAAGAAAAAAAAGCUGGGGUUGUAGCUCAGUGGCAGAGUGUCACAUGAUCCCCAACACCCAAAUUGACUUUGGCGUGUUUUCACAAAAAUAGUCUCUUGCCUGACAUGGUAGUGCAUGAGUAAUCCUGUGAUUCUGGAGGCCUAGGAAGAAGGAUCAAAGUUCAAGGCUAGCCUUAUUAGCGUGACUCUUUCAAUAUAAAAAAUAAAAUGGGUUGGGGAUGUGGCUUAGUGUUAUUAGGUGGGUUUAAUCCUCAGUAACAAAAAAAAAAAUAGUCUCAUCUUUUAACUUAGCCUUUAUAAAAAGAUAAUUCUCUUAAUCAUUAAGGGCUCCUUUCUGCAUUUUAUUUUCACAUUCUUUCAGUAUCUUCUAUUUUGUAUUGACAGGGCUGUUUUUGCUUUACAUGGUUUUAGGAAUGAGUGAAAGGGCCUGUUUAUAAUUUUCUCAGCUGAACUGUUUC